rnacentral:rRNA from 1 species
GACGAACGCUGGCGGCGUGCUUAACACAUGCAAGUCGAGCGGUAAGGGCCCUUUCGGGGGUACACGAGCGGCGAACGGGUGAGUAACACGUGGGUGACCUGCCCUCAGCUCUGGGAUAAGCCUGGGAAACCGGGUCUAAUACUGGAUAUGACUCCAUGACGCACGUUGUGGGGUGGAAAGCCUUGUGCGGCUGAGGAUGGGCCCGCGGCCUAUCAGCUUGUUGGUGGGGUGAUGGCCUACCAAGGCGACGACGGGUAGCCGGCCUGAGAGGGCGACCGGCCACACUGGGACUGAGACACGGCCCAGACUCCUACGGGAGGCAGCAGUGGGGAAUCUUGCGCAAUGGGCGAAAGCCUGACGCAGCGACGCC